rnacentral:rRNA from 1 species
AGAGUUUGAUCCUGGCUCAGAGCGAACGCUGGCGGCGUGCUUAACACAUGCAAGUCGAACGGAUCCGGGGGGCAACCCUCGGGUUAGUGGCGAACGGGUGAGUAACACGUGGGUAAUCUCCCCCCGAGUGAGGGAUAAGCUUGCGAAAGCGGGUCUAAUACCGCAUGACGCUUCGGGACGUAAGUCUUCGAAGUUAAAGCCGUAAGGCGCUUGGGGAUGAGCCUGCGUCCUAUUAGCUAGUUGGUAGGGUAAUGGCCUACCAAGGCGACGAUGGGUAGCCGGCCUGAGAGGGUGAUCGGCCACACUGGAACUGAGACACGGCCCAGACUCCUACGGGAGGCAGCAGUGGGGAAUCUUCCGCAAUGGACGAAAGUCUGACGGAGCAACGCCGCGUGGCGGAUUGUAAAGUACUGUCUUUGGGGAAGAAUGACUGAUUUGAAAAUAUUGAGUCAGUAUGACGGUACCCAAGGAGGAAGCCCCGGCUAACUACGUGCCAGCAGCCGCGGUAAUACGUAGGGGGCAAGCGUUGUCCGGAAUUAUUGGGCGUAAAGGGCGCGUAGGCGGGUAUUUAAGUCCGGUGUGAAAGAUCAGGGCUCAACCCUGAGAGUGCAUCGGAAACUGGGUAUCUUGAGGACAGGAGAGGAAAGUGGAAUUCCUAGUGUAGCGGUGAAAUGCGUAGAUAUUAGGAGGAACACCAGUGGCGAAGGCGACUUUCUGGACUAGUCCUGACGCUGAGACUCGAAAGCUAGGGGAGCAAACGGGAUUAGAUACCCCGGUAGUCCUAGCUGUAAACGAUGGACACUGGAUGUUCCCGCGUUCAUGCGGGAGUGUCGUAGCUAACGCGUUAAGUGUCCCGCCUGGGGAGUACGGUCGCAAGGCUGAAACUCAAAGGAAUUGACGGGGGCCCGCACAAGCGGUGGAGCAUGUGGUUUAAUUCGACGCAACGCGAAGAACCUUACCUGGGCUUGAACGGCCGGUUGUACGGACUUGAAAGAGCGUACCUUCCCCUUCGGGGGCAGGGGUGACAGGUGGUGCAUGGUUGUCGUCAGCUCGUGUCGUGAGAUGUUGGGUUAAGUCCCGCGACGAGCGCAACCCUUGUCCUUAGUUGCCAGCGAGUAAUGUCGGGCACUCUAAGCAGUCUGCCUCGGAUAACGGGGAGGAAGGUGGGGAUGACGUCAAGUCAGCAUGGCCUUUAUGUCCAGGGCCACACACGUGCUACAAUGGGCGGUACAGAGGGAUGCAAUGCCGCGAGGCCGAGCUAAUCCCUAAAACCGUUCUCAGUUCAGAUCGGAGGCUGCAACUCGCCUCCGUGAAGGCGGAAUCGCUAGUAAUCGCAGGUCAGCNNNNNNNNNNNNNNNNNNNNNNNNNNNNNNNNNNNNNNNNCCCGUCACAUCACGAAAGCUGGUCGUACCCGAAGUCGCCGGGCCAACCGCAAGGAGGCAGGCGCCUAAGGCAUGGUCGGUGAUUGGGGUGAAGUCGUAACAAGGUA